GACGAACGCUGGCGGCGUGCUUAACACAUGCAAGUCGAACGGAAAGGCCCGGCUUUUGCUGGUUUCUCGAUUGGCGAACGGGUGAGUAACACGUGAGUAACCCGCCCUUGUCUUUGGGAGAACUUCACGGAACUGGGGCUAAUAUCGGAUAGGAGAUACUGCAGCAUGUUGGGGAUUGGAAAAAUUCGGCGGUGGGGGAUGGACUCGCUGGUUACCAGCUUGUUUGUGGGGUAGUGGCUUACCAGGGCUUUGACGGGUAGCCGGCCUGAGAGGGUAACCGGGCACAUUGGGACUGCGAUACGGCGCAGACUCCUACGUGAGGCAGCAGUGGGGAAUAUUGCACAAUGGGCGGACGCCUGUUGUAGCAAUGCUGCGUGCGGGAUGACGGCCUUCGGGUUGUAAACCGAUUUCGCAUGAGACGAAGAGUGAGUGACGGUAAUGGGUAAAGAAGCACCGGCUAACUACGUG
rnacentral:rRNA from 1 species